rnacentral:rRNA from 1 species
GAGUUUGAUCGUGGCUCAGAUUGAACGCUGGCGGCAUGCUUUACACAUGCAAGUCGAACGGCAGCACGGGGUUUACCCUGGUGGCGAGUGGCGAACGGGUGAGGAAUACAUCGGAACGUGUCUAUAAGUGGGGGAUAACGCAUCGAAAGGUGUGCUAAUACCGCAUAAUCUCUCAGGAGAAAAGCAGGGGAUCGCAAGACCUUGCGCUUUAGGAGCGGCCGAUGCCUGAUUAGCUUGUUGGUAAGGUAAAAGCUUACCAAGGCUUCGAUCAGUAGCUGGUCUGAGAGGACGACCAGCCACACUGGGACUGAGACACGGCCCAGACUCCUACGGGAGGCAGCAGUGGGGAAUUUUGGACAAUGGGGGAAACCCUGAUCCAGCCAUGCCGCGUGAGUGAAGAAGGUCUUCGGGUUGUAAAGCUCUUUCAGCCGGAACGAAACGGUUACGAUUAAUACUCGUAAUUAAUGACGGUACCGGCAGAGAAGCACCGGCUAACUACGUGCCAGCAGCCGCCGUAAU